AGGUUUCCAGCUGCUGUGUUUGUGUCGCUCAUCACGUUUCCAGCCAUUCAACGUUGCUGGCACCUUGUAAAAAGUUUGUGCCCCAAACUUGACGCUGUUCCGGGGGGGAGCUGUUUUUCCGUCGUCUCUAUUAAUAUGAAAAGCAACGGAUGCAUCCGCAGAGCCCCUUUUUUUCAUCGUUUGAGCUGGACACGAAAGAUAAUCAUAGAGUAAACUUGGCACGCCUGCUUUCUGUCUUUCUUCCUGGCGCUCAAAUCACUCUGUGUGUGUUCCCCCGCUUUUGCUGCUGCUCGUCUUUUUCUUUCCUUACGAC